rnacentral:rRNA from 1 species
UACGUAGGUGGCAAGCGUUAUCCGGAAUUAUUGGGCGUAAAGCGCGCGCAGGCGGUUUCUUAAGUCUGAUGUGAAAGCCCACGGCUCAACCGUGGAGGGUCAUUGGAAACUGGGGAACCUGAGUGCAGAAGAGAAAAGCGGAAUUCCACGUGUAGCGGUGAAAUGCGUAGAGAUGUGGAGGAACACCAGUGGCGAAGGCGGCUUUUUGGUCUGUAACUGACGCUGAGGCGCGAAAGCGUGGGGAGCAAACAGG